rnacentral:rRNA from 1 species
UACAGAGGGGGCAAGCGUUGUCCGGAUUUACUGGGCGUACAGCGCGCGCAGGCGGUUGCGUAUGUGAGCGGUGACAUCCGCGGGCUCAACCCGCGGCGGCCCGCUUACACAGCGCGACUGGAGGCAGGGAGAGGGAUGUGGAAUACCCGGUGGAGCGGUGAAAUGCGUAGAGAUCGGGUGGAACACCAGCGGCGAAGGCGGCAUCCUGGACCGGCAUUGACGCUGAGGCGCGAAAGCCAGGGGAGCAAACGGG